GUCCACGCCCUAAACGAUGCUGACUAGUUGUUCGGGAAUUUAUUCCUGAGUAACGUAGCUAACGCGUGAAGUCAGCCGCCUGGGGAGUACGGUCGCAAGAUUAAAACUAAAGGAAUUGACGGGACCCGCACAAGCGGUGGAUGAUGUGGAUUAAUUCGAUGCAACGCGAAAACCUUACCUACCCUUGACAUGCCACUAACGAAGUAGAGAUACAUUAGGUGCCCGUAAGGGAAAGUGGACACAGGUGCUGCAUGGCUGUCGU
rnacentral:rRNA from 1 species